UCUUCUUCUUCCUCUUCCUGAGAAAUAUAAUGGUGCCCGCUUCCCUUCACUCCAAAAAAAUCAUAAGAAAAUAAAUGAAAAGGAUCAAACAUUAAAUUUAUGCAAAGGGUCUUAUGAAUUAAAAGCUUUCACCUCCUCCUCCUCCCCCUCCCCCUCCCAUUCCCUCCCCUUCCUUCCCCUUCAUCUCUUCCUUCCCAUCACACACCGUCCCCUUUUUAAUCCCCGCCUCCCUCCUCCAUACUUUCAUCUUCCUCUAAACGGUGUCCAUGGAAAUUGCCCCUACCUCUCCCUCUCCCUCUCCCUCUUCCCCUCUUCCCUCUUCCCUCUCCCCUUUAUUUUCGUCACCCCUUCAUCUUUCUCUCCCCCUUCCCCCUACCAUAUGAAAAGGUGUCCAUCAGUUUCCCCAUCUCUUCCCUCCCCCAUCCAUGCACUGUGCACCACCUCUCCCCUCCCCCUUCUCUCCUUUCCGCCCCCUUCCCUUUACCUUCCAUUAUCAAAAGAUGUCCAUCCAGAAAGGGGAAAAAAUAGGGUGUUUUGCAAAUUGUUUAUAAAGAUUGGUCUCCGUGCCAUUCUUUUAUCCUCCCUCCUUCCUUCCCUCUCCCCUCUUCCCUCUCCUUCACCCUCUACCUCUCUUCCACUCCCCGCCCUCUCCACCUCUCCACUUCUUCACAUCCCAAUGAGUGUCCACCUAAACUAAAAAGAAUAAAUAAUCAGGGGGUCAGAUUAUUAACAGCCUCCCCCCCUCACCUUUGUUUAUUUUUAAGUCUCCCCUCUAUCCACGCCCCCCGCCCUUCACCUCCCCUACUGCUCUUCCCGGCCGUGGUGUUCGUCCGUAGUGGUAAAAGAGUUACAUUAAUUACUACUAUUAUAUAUGCUAUACUAUUAUGAUGAGGUUAAGUUAGUACUAGUAUUAAGUCUUAUUCUGGGAGUCACCACCGCACCCCUCCUUCUCUCUCCCCCCGCACACACACCUGGCUCCCCACUACCUGUCCCUUUCCUCCUCCAACACCCCCCCGCCGGUUGUGGCUCCCAUGCAACUGCCUUUUAAAACAGUGAGUGGGCGACACCUUUGCCAUUUGAAAGCCUUUGGAGGAAAAACUAGCUCAAAAAAAUUAUGUAAAAAAAUUAAACUUGAUCAAAAGAAGAAGAAAAAUGAACUUGAUACUUUGUCAUUGGGUCUCAGUACUGUUACGGUUGUGUUGAGAUUGGCUGUAGUUUGUGCUCCUGAUGGAUGUAAGAUAGUCACACCUGAGCUUGGCAUCUUGAGACAUGAAAGGCAUACUUGCUGUUUUAAUUAGCAGGUAAGGCGUAUGGCAGUUGCGCACCUGUAGUAUUUAAAUGACACCUUUUGUCACAUCCCCCAAUCCCGUAAAGAGAAAUAUUGAUCUUGGUCUCCAUUUUUAUAUAUAUAUAUAUUAAAAAAAAUGGCUUAUUGUUUUAUGACUAUACUAUAUAUAUGAAACCAGUGCAUAAGAAAGAGAGGAAAAGAAAGUAUUGACAUUAAAGAGAGAGAAAGAGAGAGAUUGAGAGUGAGAGAGAGAGAAAUGUUUACACUUUAUAUUGAAUGGAGGAAGAGAAGUACACACCCACAAGUAUACUUAUUAAUACUUCUUUAUCUACCCCCUCCCCCUCAUUAAAACAAAAGAAAGUGAACUGGAAAGGAAAUGUGUUUAAUUUUAGCGUGGAAACAACACCUGCAUCGUUAUUAUUGUUCUUGUUAUUGUUAUCAUUUACCUGUUCGUUCAGUUUGUUACUUGCGCGAGGGAGUUCAGUCCAGCGAAACAUUAUAUUGCAUUUUGUUUGUAUUUUUUAAUGUCAUUAUUUUCCGUAUUUCAUUGUCUUACCGGUUCAUUUAUUUCUCUUUAUUUUGUUGAAUUUAUUCUCUCCGAUUUUCGUUCCUCGAGAUUAGUUUAGCGUUGUCAUUCUUUUAAGUUUUCUUUGUUUACUGUUCCUGAUACGAUUUGCUUGUCACUGCACACACGCACACACACACACACACACACACACGCACACGCACACACACACACACACACACACACACACACACACACACACACACACACACACACACACACACACACACACACACACACACACACACACACACACACACACACACGAGCUCGCAAACGUGAACGGAAAUAUUCUUGUCAGUCUUUGUAGAAGGAAAAAUUGUUAGCAGUGUGUAGGUAGUGGUGGUGGAGGUGGAGUAAGGGAGGGGGUAGGGAGGAAUCAGACAUAUGAAGGGGUGGGAAGAAUAGCUGCAACUAAACCAGCAAGAAUAGUAAUAGUAAUAAUAGUCUACAUUCUAUCAAAUAAAGGGCGAAGUUAACAGUAUAUAGUAUGAAUCGGAGAGAGAGAGAGAGAGAGAGAGAGAGAGAGAGAGAGAGAGAGAGAGACUUAUUGUGCAUUAUUUUUCUAAACACGUCACUCGUAAUCUCAGUCAUUAUCAUUGUCAUUGUCAUACCAUCGAUGCGCACAAGAGAGAAAGAGAGAGAGAGAGAGAGAAAGAGAGAGUGUGUACCUGGGGAAAGUGAGUAAGGUACACUGCAAUAAUAUUUAAACAAGAGCAAGCAAGGAAGGAAGGAAUGUGAAUUGAUAACAGUAAUAAUAACUCUAACCAAAAGAGGUGAAGCACACGAACAAUAACAACCGAACAAGUGUCACCAACAACAGUCACUACAAUAACAAUACCAACAAUAACACCAAUGCCUGUUUGUACUGUGUAAAUGUCCUGUCUCAAUCCUGUACCAAGAAGUUUGUCAAUUAAAUGGCUGAAGUUGC